GACGAACGCUGGCGGCGUGCUUAACACAUGCAAGUCGCACGGAAAGGCCCUGCAUUUGUGGGGUGUCCGAGUGGCGAACGGGUGAGUAACACGUGAGUAACCCUCCCUUGACUUUGGGAUAACUUCAGGCACCUGGGGCUAAUACCGGAUAGGAGCUCCUGCUGCAUGGCGGGGGUUGGAACGCUUCGGCGGUUGGGGAUGGACUCGCGGCUUGUCAGCCUGUCGGUGGGGUAGUGGCUUACCAAGGCUUUCCCGGGUAGCCGGCCUGAGAGGGUGACCGGCCACAUUGGGACUGAGGUACGGCCCAGACUCCUACGGAAGGCAGCAGUGGGGAAUAUUGCACAAUGCGCGGAAGCCUGAUGCAGCAACGCCGCGUGCGGGAUGACGGCCUUCGGGUUGUAAACCGCUUUCGCCUGUGACGAAGCGUGAGUGACGGUAAUGGGUAAAGAAGCACCGGCUAACUACGUG
rnacentral:rRNA from 1 species